CCUACGGGAGGCAGCAGUGAGGAAUAUUGGUCAAUGGACGAGAGUCUGAACCAGCCAAGUAGCGUGAAGGAUGACUGCCCUAUGGGUUGUAAACUUCUUUUAUAUGGGAAUAAAAUGUUCCACGUGUGGGGUUUUGUAUGUACCCUUUGAAUAAGGCUCGGCUAACUCCGUGCCAGCAGCCGCGGUAAUACGGAGGAGCCGGGCGUUAUCCGGGUUUAUUUGGUUUAAAGGGAGCGUAGGUGGAUUGUUAAGUCCGUUGUGAAAGUUUGCGGCUCAAACGUAAAAUUGCAGUUGAAACUGGCAGUCUUGAGUACAGUAGAGGUGGGCGGAAUUCGUGGUGUAGCGGUGAAAUGCUUAGAUAUCACGAAGAACUCCGAUUGCGAAGGCAGCUCACUAGACUGCAACUGACACUGAGGCUCGAAAGUGUGGGUAUCAAACAGGAUUAGAUACCCUUGUAGUC
rnacentral:rRNA from 1 species